rnacentral:tRNA from 1 species
UGCGAGAUGGAGCAGAUGGAAGCUCGCCAGGUUCAUACCCUGGAGGUCACAGGUUCGAGUCCUGUUCUCGCUA